UCGAGCUGUGCUGCACACUGCAUUAGAGCCAUGAUGAAACUCUAUGGAUAUUUUGCUGUUACUGUUCUACUGUCUUUGGCCAAAGGGCGGAGAGCUGAUUGGAAAGUUGAGAAAACACAACUGAGCUCCUUUCCAGGAAACAGGGAAGAUGACCAUAAAUCCAGCCACCAGACUAUUGUGAUAAUGGAGGAAGACCCUGCUGUGAUUGAAUCAGGUACUUAUCUGUUUGAGAGGAAUUCAAAUUCAUCAACAUUGGUGAAGUACCACGAGGGGGCACUGAAUAUUAUGAGAGGAGGCCAUCCGAUUUCUACCAGAAGUGAUGAUAUUGUACUUGUUGGCCAUGGUAGUAAGGGCUCCACAGAAGAACUCCGCCUGGCUGGUUUAGAUGCAGAGGAAGUUGCCCGAUUUGUAUCCAGCCUAAAGACUGAAUUACUCAUUGAUCCCACUGGCACAAUCAGGCUAAUCAGCUGCAACCUUGGAAAUGACCAAAACUUCACUCUGAAGCUGCUCCAAGCUUUCCGUUCUCUGAAUGUGGAAACAACACUACACCUACACAACACACUCCUAUCAGUUAACUCUGAUGGGGAGAUAAUGAGUAGACGAGAUGGUGUCUGGAGGUCUCAUGACUACAGCAGUGAUGUCAUUGCUAAACUCAGCCCAACAGGUGACCUGCUGACAAGGAAAACAUUCGGCUGUUCAGGUAUCGUACAUCCAAAAUAUAAAGGAAAUAUUCUGUAUCUUAAUAGUCUGGAGUGGCCAAGACAUCCUCAAAUGUUUGUACCGAUGGAGCUACGGAAAAAAUACCCUUCUAUUGACUGUUUGGAGGGGCUCACUUGGAGCUUGUUUUUUGAGGAAAAUGAAAAAAGACGUGCCCCUGAUUAUAUCCCCAACAACGAUAACCUGAAAGCAGUUUGGCUUGAAGUGACAGAAGAGAGCAGCAUUCGCCUUAAACAUAUAUCCAACAUACAGGACCUUCUUGUGGAGAUCCGCUACUGUGCCAGAGAAGAAGUGGCCUCAGACCUGUAUUACGUUCUAAAUGACUGUAUUUAUAAAAUCCAUGGGAAAAAUCUGAGUGUAAGUCUGGUAGGCAAGUUCAUGAGAACUGAAAAUGGAGCAGAAACUGAACUUUUUCGUCAGAGUUUCGGUGACCAGCAGGGGGAAUAUUCUCUGCAGGAGCUGCAACAAGGUCUUAAACCAUCCAAAUUUAAUGACUUCUGCCGCCAGACAUUUCAGUUCCAGCAGUGUACCUACAACUGUGAAAGGUGGGGGCGUUAUUUCAUGGCAGCAGUGUUCUCAGCAUCAGUAAGGAACUUCAGAACCUUCUCACUUUUUCUCAUGAGUGUUAUUGGCUGCGAAGUAGGCCGUUCUCAAGGGACUGACAGCUCCCUGUGCACAGCCUUUGUUGGAGAUGACCAUCCCUUGGUUACUAAUCAGCCGUGGCCUGAACAUCUGAAACGAGGAUUCUAUGGUUGCACUGUUGACAACUAUGAGAUUGCACCACAGAACAGACAGAUCUGGUUGGAUCAGGUUGUUGCAAAGGAAAAUUCUUUGUACAUUAAAUCGAAGCAAAUGAUGGAUGCAUUUAAUCACAAUGACCAAACUGAGUUGGAAAUUUUUGGGAAGAUCAAAGUCAUGAAUAAGUAUGUGUUCUCAUCUUAUCUGGAAUACUUUCGUGGUACACCUGAAGGGAAGAAACUCAAGAGAGGAUGCUCUCCUUUGUUCUACAAGAACUGAAAUACACAACUUGAAAUUAAUGUGUGGAUUUGAUAGAUAUAAUUCAGUGCUAAAAUCUCUCCCACACCGAAUUAAACACAUAUUUUGUUUUUCCUGCCUAAGCUUCUGUUAUAUCUUCCUAAUUUAAAGCAGCUUAACAUAAAGUAACAAGUCAUGGUCGACACAGGGUUUGGAAUGCUUGUUAUCUGUGUUUAUAAAAUAAACAGUUGAAAUUAAAAGUUGUGUUUUAUCAUUUUUGAGGCUAGGGGGUUAAGUUAUGACAUAUCCAUAUACAUAGGGAUUUUUGUAGUACUUGAAAUGAGUUUUUCUGUUGUCAUAAAUACAUAAAGACAAAAUGCAUAACAGGCUAGAUUCAACGGUAGAUUAUCAAUAAAAAUAACUAGGAUUUUGUAAAGACAACAACAACAGAAGGCAUUUUUUCCUUGGGUUUCCAGCUAUCACUGAAGACAAAUUAGAAAUUUAUCAGUUCAGGUGAAUUCAGAGAAAUAUCAUUAUUUCAGAAUUGUAUGCCAUCCUGCAGUCUUUUGCAAAAGUCACCUUCCUAACCCUUAUCCAACACAACUCUUAGACACUUUUUUCAUAAUCAUAGUGCACUGUAUGUCAGGAUCUGGGUUGUGUUUUGUGUUUUGUGCUUGCUGCAUGUGUUCAGUGGUUUCAGAUGGUGCUGGACUUCUCAGGUGUGCUGGGUGACAGGUGCGACUUAUUCUACUAAUGACUUUGAGGAGUACUUAAGCAGGAGGCUGCCAUCACUUUGAUGCUAGUGUUUUGACCACAAUGGCUAAGUAAACCUGAACCCUGGAUUUAUAUCACUGAAUACUGGCUACGUGUCCGGAGGUCUUUCUGGAUGAUCAAGGCUAUCUACGUUCUGAGGAUUUAAUUUCCUAUCUACUGGCUUCGUUUGGAUUCGCAUCUCGCUGGCAGUUUCCUGCUACCUUCGCCUCCUGGACCAAGCCGUAAGCGUACCCUGUUCACCCUCCAACGUAAGCAUCUGCACACCAAACUCAUUCCUGUUUUGCCUGAGCUCACACUGAACAGCACCUAAAGAACCUUCUACAAACCUGGAUCCUGAAUGCCUCUUCCCCUGGCUACCUGACCACACCUAUUUAGUUAGCUGUUCUCUUGAUUGCAUUAAUUCCUUGUUCUUCCUUUCACCAGUUCUCUUCC